CUUUUUACCCCCUGCUUUUAUUCAUCUCUUUCCCAACAUAAGCUACUUCACCUCCAUCACUCUGUACGACACUUGAACUCCCCAUUCAAUUCAAUCUUCUGAAAUCUGAUUUCGCUUAUCUCAGAAAUAGAGAUAUAAAGUAUUUUCUUAAUUCAACAUCGUCGAUGAAGAUAAUGCCGGGAAAUUUUGUUGUUUUUAUGACUGUCGGUGCUUUCCUAAUCGCAAUUACUCGGCGCUGAAGAUCCAUACGGUAUGAAAGAAUGGAAUGUCACAUAUGGCGAUAUCUAUCCACAUGGUGUUCAUGAACAGGUCGAUUUUUAUCCAAUCAAUCACUAAGUUUACUCCAAUCAACAUUUUUUACAUUUGAUUUCUCAAUUUUGUGUUAAAAAAACUUACUAAACGUUCCAGAAUUUAUUUUACAAGCUUGAUUUCUCAAGCAUUUUACAGACACUAAAGAAACUCAAGAAGAAAGAAAAGAUAAAAAACAAUCUGAAAGUAGGUUUUCUAUAAACUUACCGGAAGGAAUGAAUUCUGGGAUUGACUGGACGAGUUUUGACUGUGAUGAUUUCAAACCUUGGAAAGAGGAUGAUGUAAAGGAAUUAUACAAUGGUAUGUUUGAAGUAUAUAUAGUUUAGAAUAUGAUAAAAUUGACAUAAUAAUUAUAAUUAAAAGUAAAUGUAAUUGACAUUAUAAAUAUAAUAUUGAUAUGAUACCUUAUAUAUGAAAUCAGAUUUGAUAAUAAGAUGCCCUUGAUCUGGUAUGUAACGAAAUUGACUUUGAUGAUCGAAAAAAUUGAUAUAAUUAUGAUAUGUUACCUUAUAUAUGAAAUCGGAUUUGAUAAUAAAAUGUUGUAUAAUGUUGGUAAGGGAAUUUUCGUCCUUUGUACAUACCAUUUAUUUUUGUAAUGUAUUUUACAAAAAUGUUUGUUUCCUUCUGUUAUUGCAUAAAGAUAUAUGUAUUGGCUAGGGCAUUUUCGUUAUUUGAACUUAGUUAUAACAUGUAAAAGAAAAGUACAAUGCAUUUAUAUUUAAUUUCAGAUAAAGUUAAGCAUUGCUGGAAAGGAUAUUGUUAGGGAGGAUGAUUUUGAUGAUUUGACUUCUAAUUUGAUAGUUACAGAUUAGCAUUUAUCAAGCAUAUCAGGUUCAGAAAAUAAAGAAAACAGAGAAUUUGAAAGCUUCAUUGAUUCAACUGAGGGAUUGUUGGGAAGUAUGAAGCAUAAGAUUUUUAUGCCUCUAUUCAAUUGAGAAACGAUUUCAUUAUGGAAGUGCCUGCUUUUUGGUGAUUCUGAGAAAUUUAUGUUUGAACAUGAUUUACAUGGAUUUACAAAGGACGUUAAUACCCCUUGUGUUACAAUGAAGGAAAUGACUAAGAGAAUGUUGAAUGUGAUCCAUGAACCCAGAAACAACACCUGUUUUAGAGUUAUGUUGCUUGCUACUGGUGGGCACUUUGUUGGUUGUGUCUUUGAUGGAAAACUCCAUUAUUGCCCAUACAACAUUCCACAGGUAUGUUCUUUAUCUAUCUUAUCACAAUAAUUUCAUCAGAAAAAUUAUUUAUGAGCUUAAAAUUAACACAUCCUUGCCCAGAACUAAAAAUAUAAGUUGGUGAGUCUGAGAAAAGUAUGAAGCAUAAGAUUUUUAUGCGUCUAUCCUUUUAAUCAACGAUUUCAAUCUGAAAGUGCUCGCUUCUUGGUGAGUGUGAGAAAAUUAUGUUUCAACAUGAUUUACAUAGGUUCACAAAGGACGUUAAUACCCUUGUGUUAUAGUGAAUGAAGUGAAUGAGAGACUGCUAAAUGUGAUACAUGAACCUAGAAACAACACACGUUUUAGAGUUAUGUUGCUUGCUACUGGUGGGCAUUUUGUUGGUUGUGUAUUUGAUGGAAACUCCAUUGUUGCCCACAAAACAUUCCACAGGUAAGCAGUCACAACAGUAAACCAUACAAAGAAAACAAAAUCUGAAAGAAACAAUAACACAGAAACUAUAUACCCCUGCAACAGACAUUGAGAAGCAGAUAACUUGAAGCAAAAACUUACCGAACAAUGAAAUUCGAUGAUUGCCGAUGAUGGUUGAUUCUUGGAAGAAGAUGAUGUAAAGAAGAAUUCAUAGCGUAUGAAUGAAGUAUAUAUUGAGUUACAUAUGAUAAAAUCGAAAUAAUCUUCAAAAUUAAAUGCAAACGAUACGAUUGAUAUGCAUACCAUAAUAAGAUGAUCUUAAUCGGGCAUGUAACGAAAUUGAUUCCAUAAUCCAAUCGAUAUCGAUAUCGAUAUGUAUCCAUAUUCAAUUUUCGAAAUUUCAAUUAGCCAUAUUGCCGUA